AACGAACGCUGGCGGCAGGCCUAACACAUGCAAGUCGAGCGCGCCCUUCGGGGUGAGCGGCGGACGGGUGAGUAACGCGUGGGAACGUGCCCUUUUCUACGGAAUAGCCUCGGGAAACUGAGAGUAAUACCGUAUACGCCCUUUGGGGGAAAGAUUUAUCGGAAAAGGAUCGGCCCGCGUUGGAUUAGGUAGUUGGUGGGGUAAUGGCCUACCAAGCCGACGAUCCAUAGCUGGUUUGAGAGGAUGAUCAGCCACACUGGGACUGAGACACGGCCCAGACUCCGACGGGAGGCAGCAGUGGGGAAUCUUAGACAAUGGGGGCAACCCUGAUCUAGCCAUGCCGCGUGAGUGAUGAAGGCCUGAGGGUUGUAAAGCUCUUUCAGCUGGGAAGAUAAUGACGGUACCAGCAGAAGAAGCCCCGGCUAACUCCG
rnacentral:rRNA from 1 species